CAAAUUAAAGUUUUAUGACAACCCUGAGUUGUCAGAUGAUGGUUAGCUUUUUUUUACUAAGCAAUAUUUUUUAAUUAUGGUCUACACUUUUUUAAAAGACAUAAUACUAUUGUUCACUCAAUAGACUACAGUGUCGGAACCAAACCUGCAGGAUCUCUGAGCAGCUACCAUGUCGUGAGCUGCUCUACAGGAGAAAACGAAGAACCAUCUCAGGUCAACAGUCACUGGGGAACUAAAGCUUUCAGUUUGACCUCCCAUGAGAAACCAAAUCCUGCCA